rnacentral:rRNA from 1 species
GACGAACGCUGGCGGUGUGCUUAACACAUGCAAGUCGAACGGUAAGGCCCUUUCGGGGGUACACGAGUGGCGAACGGGUGAGUAACACGUGAGUAACCUGCCCACAACUUUGGGAUAACACUCGGAAACUGUUGCUAAUACUGGAUAUGUGCUUCUGCUGCAUCUUGUGGGUUGGAAAGAUCCGGGUGGUUGGGGAUGGACUCGCGGCCUUCCAGCUUGUUGGGGGGGUAGUGGCUAACCAAGGCGUCGACGGGUAGCCGGCCUGAGAGGGCGACCGGCCACAUUGGGACUGAGAUACGGCCCAGACUCCUACGGGAGGCAGCAGUGGGGAAUAUUGCACAAUGGGCGGAAGCCUGAUGCAGCAACGCCGCGUGCGGGAGGACGGCCUUCGGGUUGUAAACCGCUUUCAGCAGGGACGAAGCUUUUUGUGACGGUACCUGCAGAAGAAGCACCGGCUAACUACGUG